rnacentral:snoRNA from 1 species
CAUCAAUUUUUUUUAAAAUGACUACCUUGCUCUUUCCCUGUGGGGACCCCGUGUGCAAUGGUUGCAAACAGUAGCCUCCUUGGUAGUGUAUGCAGCCUGUUGAUGUCUGACCUCAUGCUAUCUCCAGUCUAGGCUCCGCACCGGGACGCGGGGUGCCUUU